rnacentral:rRNA from 1 species
GAUGAACGCUGGCGGCGUGCCUAAUACAUGCAAGUCGAGCGAACAGACGAGGAGCUUGCUCCUCUGACGUUAGCGGCGGACGGGUGAGUAACACGUGGAUAACCUACCUAUAAGACUGGGAUAACUUCGGGAAACCGGAGCUAAUACCGGAUAAUAUAUUGAACCGCAUGGUUCCAUAGUGAAAGACGGUUUUGCUGGCACUUAUAGAUGGAUCCGCGCCGCAUUAGCUAGUUGGUAAGGUAACGGCUUACCAAGGCAACGAUGCGUAGCCGACCUGAGAGGGUGAUCGGCCACACUGGAACUGAGACACGGUCCAGACUCCUACGGGAGGCAGCAGUAGGGAAUCUUCCGCAAUGGGCGAAAGCUUGACGGAGCAACGCCGCGUGAGUGAUGAAGGUCUUCGGAUCGUAAAACUCUGUUAUUAGGGAAGAACAAAUGUGUAAGUAACUAUGCACGUCUUGACGGUACCUAAUCAGAAAGCCACGGCUAACUACGUG